CCUACGGGGGGCAGCAGUGGGGAAUAUUGGUCAAUGGGGGAAACCCUGAACCAGCGACGCCGCGUGAGUGAAGAAGGUUUUAGGUACGUAAAGCUCUAUUAGUAGGGAAGAAAAUGACGGUACCUGACUAAGAAGCACCGGCUAACUACGUGCCAGCAGCCGCGGUAAUACGUAGGGGGCAAGCGUUAUACGGAUUUACUGGGCGUAAAGAGUGCGUAGGCGGCGUCGCAAGUCUGGAGUGAAAUGCCGGGGCCCAACCCCGGAACUGCUUUGGAAACUGUUAAGCUGGAGUGCAGGAGAGGUAGGCGGAAUGCCUGGUGUAGCGGUGAAAUGCGUAGAUAUCAGGAGGAACCCUGACUGCGAAGGCGGCCUACUGGACCAUAACUGACGCUGAUGCACGAAAGCGUGGGGAGCAAACAGGAUUAGAUACCCGUGUAGUC
rnacentral:rRNA from 1 species